rnacentral:rRNA from 1 species
AUUGAACGCUGGCGGCAGGCCUAACACAUGCAAGUCGAGCGGAUGAAGGGAGCUUGCUCCUGGAUUCAGCGGCGGACGGGUGAGUAAUGCCUAGGAAUCUGCCUGGUAGUGGGGGAUAACGUCCGGAAACGGGCGCUAAUACCGCAUACGUCCUGAGGGAGAAAGUGGGGGAUCUUCAGACCUCACGCUAUCAGAUGAGCCUAGGUCGGAUUAGCUAGUUGGUGGGGUAAAGGCCUACCAAGGCGACGAUCCGUAACUGGUCUGAGAGGAUGAUCAGUCACACUGGAACUGAGACACGGUCCAGACUCCUACGGGAGGCAGCAGUGGGGAAUAUUGGACAAUGGGCGAAAGCCUGAUCCAGCCAUGCCGCGUGUGUGAAGAAGGUCUUCGGAUUGUAAAGCACUUUAAGUUGGGAGGAAGGGCAGUAAGUUAAUACCUUGCUGUUCUGACGUUACCAACAGAAUAAGCACCGGCUAACUUCGUG